UACGUAGGGGGCUAGCGUUGUCCGGAAUCAUUGGGCGUAAAGCGCGUGUAGGCGGUUCGGUAAGUCUGCUGUGAAAGUCGGGGGCUCAACCUCGGAUGCCGGUGGAGUACUGUCGGGCUUGAGUACGGAAGAGGCGAGUGGAAUUCCUGGUGUAGCGGUGAAAUGCGCAGAUAUCAGGAGGAACACCAAUUGCGAAGGCAGCUCGCUGGGACGUUA
rnacentral:rRNA from 1 species